rnacentral:rRNA from 1 species
UCCCUACGGGACGCAGCAGUGGGGAAUAUUGCACAAUGGGGGAAACCCUGAUGCAGCGACGCCGCGUGAGCGAUGAAGUAUUUCGGUAUGUAAAGCUCUAUCAGCAGGGAAGAAAAUGACGGUACCUGACUAAGAAGCCCCGGCUAACUACGUGCCAGCAGCCGCGGUAAUACGUAGGGGGCAAGCGUUAUCCGGAUUUACUGGGUGUAAAGGGAGCGUAGACGGCAAGGCAAGCCAGAUGUGAAAGCCCGGGGCUCAACCCCGGGACUGCAUUUGGAACUGUGGAGCUGGAGUGUCGGAGAGGG